rnacentral:tRNA from 1 species
GCUAAGAAAGUUAAAAUGAUGUAACAAGGAGUCUAAAACUCUUUAGAAGAGGGUUUGAUUCCUUCUCUUAGUA